GUGCAGCAGUCGAGAAUACUCUGCAAUGCGCGAAAGCGCGACAGGGUUACCCCGAGUGUCGUCCGCUGAGGACGACUUUUCCCCAGUGUAGAUAGCUGGGGGAAUAAGGAGAGGGCAAGUCUGGUGUCAGCCGCCGCGGUAAUACCAGCUCUCCGAGUGGUGGGGACGCUUAUUGGGCCUAAAGCAUCCGUAGCCGGUCUAACAAGUCCCUUGUUAAAUCCAGCGAUUCAAUCGCUGGACUGCAAGGGGAUACUGUUAGACUAGGGGGCGGGAGAGGCCGACGGUAUUCCCGGGGUAGGGGUGGAAAUCCUAUAAUCCCGGGAGGACCACCAGUGGCGAAGGCUGUCGGCUAGAACGCGCCCGACGGUGAGGGAUGAAAGCUGGGGGAGCGAACCGGAUUAGAUACCCCUGUAGU
rnacentral:rRNA from 1 species